rnacentral:lncRNA from 1 species
CUGGAAGUUUCCUGAGGCCUCCCCAGCCAUCCUGAACUAGGUACCUGGUGCCAGUUCCUGAGACUUGAGGAUUCUGGUUGGUUCUCAGCACAGGAGUCAGCCUGCUCUGAUUUGCUAGUGAUGUCCUAACCAAUCUCCCUGAAAAAUUAUCUGUGAAAUUUAUUUCUAUACAUCCAACAAGCACAAUGAACUCUAGGUAGAAUAAAUUCAGUGAGGUCCACAUCAAGAACAUUGUAAUCAAACUGUUGAAUGUCAAAGACAGAGAAUCUUGAAAGCAACAAGAAAGAAUCAACUAUCAUGUACAAGGGAACCUUAGUAAGAUGAACAGUUGGCUAUUUAUCAGGAACUAUGGAAGCCAGAAAACAGUGGGCAUAUUUAAAGUGCUGAAAGAAAAGAACCUAUCAACCAAGAAUUCUGUAUCUGGCAAAAUUGCCCUUCAAAAGUGAGGAAGAAAUUGAGAUAUUCCCAAUAAACAAAAGCUGAGGGGUUCACUACAAGUAGACCUGCCCUGCAAGAAAUGCUACAAGAUGUCCUCAAGUUGAAAUGAAAGGACACUAAAUGGUAACUUGAAGCUGUAUGAAGAAAUAAAGGUCUACAGUAAAGUGCGUCUAGAGUGUUGACAGUUGUUUCCAUGGACUUCAAAUCAACCCAACCCUGUGAGCACAGACUUUCAGCACCAGAGUCAGAUUUCCCAAAAAUGCUAUUCUUGAAGCGUAGAGCCAGACUCACAGAUCCUGUAAAGAAAACAGAUCUUUCAGCAAGUGAAACACCCAAUCUUCCAUUGCAUGGGACUCACAGAGGUUCUGAGGGAGAGAUGUGAAUAGAAGGAGUGAUCAUCACUGUGGACUCUAUUUCUUCCAUCUGUGCGUGCAAGAUUUAUAUCUGUAUGUGUUUGUUUUAAAGUUUUAUUGAGGUAUAAUUGAUACACAAUAAUCUGUACCUAUUUAAUGUAUACAAUUUGAUGAGUUUGGACAUACUUAAAUACCUGUGAAACCAUCACCACAAUCAAGGUAAUAGACAUAGCCAUCACCUCCAAAAGUUUCUUUGUGUCCCUUUGUGGUUUGUUUCUGAGAUAAGAACACUUAACAUGUGGACUCUUGACACUCUCCUUGGAUCUCUUAAUUUGAUUGCUGUUGCUGUCACCACAUUGACUUCCUAGCCCUGCUGAUCCUCCUUUAUCACUAGCUCUAGAAAAAAAAACAAACCAAACACCACUAAUUCAUUUAUUCAGUAAUUCAACAAAAAAACCAUUGAGCACUUAAUAUUUGCAGAAUACAUGGCUAGAUGCAGAGGAUUCAAAGAAUUGAGUGAAGUCACAUAAAGUGUUAAGAACAGUGUGUGAUACAAACAUGAAAUAUGUUAGCUGUUAGAAUUUCAAACUCACUUCCAUAUCAAUUAUAAUAAGGAUUUCCAUAAAUAGCAGAAUAGUAUUUCUAUUAGAUGCUCACAGAUGCUAAUAAAACAGUAGAAUGGUAAAAACCAUGCAUCCCCCAAGGCAAGAGAAGGUGAGCUAUUUUGCCUCGGUGGCUCAAUAUUCCAUCAAUGGGUCCUGCUUUAAACUGCAAGUACCUGCCUUCCUUCUUUCAACAGACUGACUCCACGUUGCUUUAGGAAAGAUUCACUGAAACAAAGGAAUAAACCACCCAAGAUAUAGUGUUUUUAAAAACAUUUUUUAAUGAAGAAAUUAUUCCACUCCAAAAUAUAGACACACAAUUAAAUAGUUUAAUCACUUCAAAAUAUAACAUGUCCCCAGGAGGUUCCAACACACACACACACACACACACACAAAACAAUACUUAACAGCAAUACAAAAAUCCAUACAAUAGUAUUUUUUUUUUACAAUACCAAUGAAUAUUGUGAAAUCUUUAGUGUCUCUGAAUUGAUUAUUUCAAAUGGUGUCAAAUUGCAGUAGUCAUAAUUAAAAAUGUCUUACAGUUAAUUCGCCUCAA